UACAGAGGGUGCGAGCGUUGUCCGGAAUCACUGGGCGUAAAGGGCGCGUAGGCGGCUUUUCAAGCGUGCGGUGAAAGCUCGGGGCUUAACUCCGAGUCUGCCGUGCGAACUGGGAGGCUUGAGUCUGGUAGAGGUCGAUGGAAUUCCGGGUAGUAGCGGUGGAAUGCGUAGAGAUCCGGAAGAACACCGGUGGCGAAGGCGGUCGACUGGGGCCAGUACUGACGCUGAGGCGCGACAGCGUGGG
rnacentral:rRNA from 1 species